AUGUACCAUGUGGGCACAAAAUCGUACCAAGAUUCAAUCAAGCGUGUACGUCCACUGGCCACCGCCAUGAGCAGGGCACCGGAUGUUACAAACUCACUGGCGUCGUGGGCGAACAAGUUUUCUCGGCAUCUUGAGGUUUCUGACCAAUGCCCUUUGUGUGGACUCGAACGGGAGGACGUGUUCCAUGCCCUUUGUAGGUGCCCUCUGGUGGUGGACUUGUGGCGCUCCAUGGCGAGGGAUUGGUCUAUACCGAAGGUGGAGGACAUCCGGAACUCGGGGCCUAACUGGCUAUUCGGCUUGCUAGACCCCCUCGACGACGCGACGAGGAUGGUAGUCCUCAUGAUCAUGUGGAGGAACUGGCACGUCAGGAAUGAGAUCACACAUGCUAAGAAGCCCCCUCCAGCUGAGGCAUCUCGCCGAUUCCUACAUGGGUAUAUCAACUCAUUACUCUGCAUCCAACAACACCCACAUGCAGACAUGAUCAAGGGCAAGAUGGUGGUCCUCCCUCCCCAGUCUACCCUACGUCCCCAGAAGGAAGCAAAGGAGGAGAGGGCAUGGUCUGCACCAAGGCCAGGUUUUGUCAAGCUGAAUACGGAUGGCAGCUAUGUGAUGGCGUCAGGAGCAUCUGGAGGAGGAAUGAUCUUGCGGGACGACCGGGGAGAGAUCAUAUUUUCUACAUGCAGAGAACUCCGCACAUGUGAUAAUGCGCUUGGAGCUGAGCUCGCGGCGUGUAAGGAGGGCCUCGAGCUGGCCCUGCACCGGACGGAAUUAAUGAUAGUGGUGGAGCUAGAUUGUGCAGAGGCCGUGACUAUGAUCACACGGCGCAUGGAGGACCGGUCAGUCUUUUGCGGCCUCGUCCAAGAGAUCAAAGAACUUGUUGCCGGAGCUGAUAGAGAGGUUUCUUUUAUUUCUUGCUCUCGUACACAGAAUAAAUGUAGCCAUGAACUUGCCUCCUACGGGCGUAAGACCCCAAGGACCGCGGUGUGGUUCCUGUCGGGGAUCGAGUCGGUUGUACGGUUGGCCGAGCCUGAGAAGCCACCCUGA
rnacentral:rRNA from 1 species